UAGGGAAUAUUGCACAAUGGGGGAAACCCUGAUGCAGCGACGCCGCGUGAAGGAAGAAGUAUCUCGGUAUGUAAACUUCUAUCAGCAGGGAAGACAAUGACGGUACCUGACUAAGAAGCCCCGGCUAACUACGUGCCAGCAGCCGCGGUAAUACGUAGGGGGCAAGCGUUAUCCGGAUUUACUGGGUGUAAAGGGAGCGUAGACGGAUCUGCAAGUCUGGAGUGAAAGCCCGGGGCUCAACCCCGGGACUGCUUUGGAAACUGUGGAUCUAGAGUGCCGGAGAGGUAAGCGGAAUUCCUAGUGUAGCGGUGAAAUGCGUAGAUAUCGGGAGGAACACCAGUGGCGAAGGCGGCCUACUGGGCACCAACUGACGCUGAGGCUCGAAAGUAUGGGUAGCAAACAGGAUUAGAUACCC
rnacentral:rRNA from 1 species